AGUAACGCGUGAGGAACCUGCCUUCCAGAGGGGGACAACAGUUGGAAACGGCUGCUAAUACCGCAUAAGCGCACGAGGCUGCAUGGCCUUGUGUGAAAAACUCCGGUGGUAUGGGAUGGAUCCACGUCUGAUUAGCUAGUUGGUGAGAUAAAAGCCCACCAAGGCGACGAUCAGUAGCCGACCUGAGAGGGUGGCCGGCCACAUUGGGACUGAGACACGGCCCAGACUCCUACGGGAGGCAGCAG
rnacentral:rRNA from 1 species